GUCUACCACCAUACCACUCUGAACACACCCAAUCUCAUCUGAUCUCAGAAGCUAAAUAGGGUCGGGCCUGGUUUGUAUAAUAAUUGGAUGGGAGAAA
rnacentral:rRNA from 1 species